rnacentral:rRNA from 1 species
UACAGAGGUCCCGAGCGUUGUUCGGAUUCACUGGGCGUAAAGGGUGCGUAGGCGGGUCUUUAAGUCAGGGGUGAAAUCCUGGAGCUCAACUCCAGAACUGCCUUUGAUACUGAAGAUCUUGAGUUCGGGAGAGGUGAGUGGAACUGCGAGUGUAGAGGUGAAAUUCGUAGAUAUUCGCAAGAACACCAGUGGCGAAGGCGGCUCACUGGCCCGAUACUGACGCUGAGGCACGAAAGCGUGGGGAGCAAACAGGG